CAGUCGCCACGGUAAUACGAAGGGAGCUAGCGUUGCUCGGAAUUACUGGGUGUAAAGGGAGCGUAGGCGGACAUUUAAGUCAGGGGUGAAAUCCCGGGGCUCAACCUCGGAAUUGCCUUUGAUACUGGGUGUCUUGAGUAUGAGAGAGGUAUGUGGAACUCCGAGUGUAGAGGUGAAAUUCGUAGAUAUUCGGAAGAACACCAGUGGCGAAGGCGACAUACUGGCUCAUUACUGACGCUGAGGCUCGAAAGCGUGGGGAGCAAACAGGAUUAGAUACCCCAGUAGUCCCUGUCUCUUAUAC
rnacentral:rRNA from 1 species